GAUGAACGCUGGCGGCGUGCUUAACACAUGCAAGUCGAACGGAAAGGCCCAAGCUUGCUUGGGUACUCGAGUGGCGAACGGGUGAGUAACACGUGGGUGAUCUGCCCUGCACUUCGGGAUAAGCCUGGGAAACUGGGUCUAAUACCGGAUAGGACCACAUUUUGGAUGGUGUGGUGGAAAGUUUUUCGGUGUGGGAUGAGCUCGCGGCCUAUCAGCUUGUUGGUGGGGUAAUGGCCUACCAAGGCGUCGACGGGUAGCCGGCCUGAGAGGGUGUACGGCCACAUUGGGACUGAGAUGCGGCCCAGACUCCUACGGGAGGCAGCAGUGGGGAAUAUUGCACAAUGGGCGCAAGCCUGAUGCAGCGACGCCGCGUGGGGGAUGACGGCCUUCGGGUUGUAAACUCCUUUCGCUAGGGACGAAGCGUUUUUGUGACGGUACCUGGAGAAGAAGCACCGGCUAACUACGU
rnacentral:rRNA from 1 species